rnacentral:rRNA from 1 species
CGUAGGGCGCAAGCGUUAUCCGGAAUUAUUGGGCGUAAAGAGCUCGUAGGCGGUUUGUCGCGUCUGCUGUGAAAUCCCGAGGCUCAACCUCGGGUCUGCAGUGGGUACGGGCAGACUAGAGUGCGGUAGGGGAGAUUGGAAUUCCUGGUGUAGCGGUGGAAUGCGCAGAUAUCAGGAGGAACACCGAUGGCGAAGGCAGAUCUCUGGGCCGUAACUGACGCUGAGGAGCGAAAGGGUGGGGAGCAAACAGGCUUAGAUACCCUGGUAGUCCACCCCGUAAACGUUGGGAACUAGUUGUGGGGUCCAUUCCACGGAUUCCGUGACGCAGCUAACGCAUUAAGUUCCCCGCCUGGGGAGUACGGCCGCAAGGCUA